rnacentral:lncRNA from 1 species
GCAAUAACAUUUAUUUUUAAUGAGAAAAAUGUUUGGAAAAGUCACAUUAAGAAAAAGAGUCUUAAGAACAUUGUGCAAUGAAAUUUGAUUUUAAUACUGAAACUUUCUUCUUUGCAAACAAAUAUCUGUGCAGAAGGGGGUACAGAUAUAAAUCAGCUACAGCCAAAUCAAGAGCUGUAUAGUCAGUACCACAGUACCACCUUGUGGGGAAAUAAAAAUGGCUUCAGUAUUGGCUUCUUCCAUUGCGCAAUUUCAGGAAAUAUUCAUCAAAUAAGCAUAAAAUUAUAACUAAGACAAAUGAAACAGACCCAGAUAUCAGCAAUGUAUGUGGUGCAUGAUUUCUUCUUCCUGUGUCAAAUUACUCCUUUUGAAGAAUCCAUGUUCCAGAUGAAAUCUUUCAGAAGUCUACUGUAAAAACUUCCUUGAAGAAAAAUGCCUCCUUUUACAUUUGCUUGCAUUCUUUACUUGACUUCCAUUUGCUUCAAAUUUAUUUCUCUAGUUACACUGAAUCAAGAGAACUAUUGCAUCAGGCAUGUCAAAUUCCACCCACACAAAAUGCUUCAUAAAGUUAAAGGCUAUGACACAAAUAAACUAAUGCCAGGAUCUUUGAGAUUACUUUUUUUAUUGCUUUUCUGCAACUGAUGUAGAUAUUAGAGACAGUAAUAUUCCUGACUACAUCUGAAGAAAUAAGGUUAUCAAAUCCUCAGAUCCCCAAAGGGAAUUUUCAUCUGUUUUUCUCCAUUUCUUUCACAUAGUGAAAGAAAUUUGUAUGAUUAAGUAAUUGCUAGUUGUCAGAAGAAGUAGUUGGCCAGCCAUCAUAUUUUAAGAGGUGUAUUAAAUGCAAUUUUCACCCUUUCAAAUAUAACUUCUUAUAGGCAUCUCUGAAUUUAAUGUCCUUAAUAAAGCAGAACAACCAGUUCUUUCUUUCCCGAGUUGUUUGGAUGCUGACCAAUGGGGCGGGGGCGGGGGCGGGGGGGGGAGGGGAUGGGGAGGGGAGUAUUCUUUUGGGGAUUUUGUUGGGCUAUUUUAUAUUUUCCUCCAAUAUAUAAACAAAGUUUAAACUUGCUUGUCUUCCUGCUGUGGAGAACCUGCCAUUGAUGGGAACAGUGCAGAAACAAACUGACAAGAAAUUAACAAAAUUGUCUUCAGGUUUACUCUUCACAUAGAGCUAUGUUGUGACCUCUAGAGUUUGAGGACUCAUCCACAUACAGCUAUUCUACUAAGACUGAUAUUGGCUUUACCUGCGCUGGGGUCAGAUCCCAAUUGUGGGAUUCCCUUCACCUUACUUUCAGUAAGAAAUUGGGUAAGCAUCCCAGCUGCCCGUACAUACCAAUCUAACAUAAUCUCAGAUUCCCCAGAAUAUGCUUCCUGGACCUUCAGCUCAUGACCUGAAUCACAUUUAUCAGCCCCAUGCAAAGGUCACAGAAUGCCUGGGGGUCUUCAAAGUCACUAAAUAACUAUUAGUAGGAAGCUGAACUAAGCCCUAGAAGUCUAACUGAAGUUUGUCACAGGGGCUUGCAGCAGAGAAAAAGAUAUCUCCAAAGAGUAAUUUGAGAAGAAAUGCCCUCUGAAGACACCUGUCUCUCCUUACUGAUCAGAGAAGGCACUUUGAAACCAUCUAAGUUUCAGGGAAUCACAUUUUGAUGAGAUUAAACUGAAAGUUAAUGUAUAACAGAUUACAGACUUUUAACAUUGUUGGCUGUUGUUUGGGUUGCAUGUCUUACAUACGAUUUGUACAAUGUGAUCUGGCCUAUAAUGCAUACAUUAUUCCAGGAUACCAGUCAGCUCAGAUCCAUUAGUGGUGGCAGUACCAGCAAUGCAGGUCCAAUUGCCAGGGAUGGUUCAUGCGCACGAACAGUGCCUCUGCACCCAGCUGCUCUUUUACAAUCACAUGCUCUCUUCCCAGUGAAGGCAGCACCCCUCUUCUAUACUCAUGAAUUUAAUUUGCCAGAAAGACAGAAAAAAAUUAUGCCUCCCUCUCAACAUGUUCUCCACAAACCAACACCCUAAAGUCAUGCCAUCACACGAAUUCCCCAUGUUCAAUCUCCACAUUCCCAGUCUCCAUCACAGUGGAUCUGGCACAUAUCCCAGAAGAUGUUUUUCUAGAAGAUGCCACCACCAGACACACAGAACUUGAAGGGUCUGCCACUGCACUAGCCAUGUAUGCUCCACAGUCUGGGAGACUCACAGACAUUCUCAGAUAAAAAGUAGGCAAGUCCUGAAGUUACCAUUUCAGGCUAGCUCUGAAAUUUUGAGUUUUCCAUCACAAAAACCAUGAGAUCUAUGUUUGUUUGGGUUUUUUUAAGUUAAUUUUCCUUCCUCUUCUUUUCUUUCCUUACUCUUCAUGAGUAGAGACCAACAGUCACAAAUCGAUAUUCCCAAGAGGGCACAUUCCUCCAGGUCUCAUAAAGGUAAAUGAAUUAGACAAUGAAAUGCUGAGAUUAUGCCAAAAGUUAGGCCUUAGCAAGUUAACUGGCUCAUCACAUUUAUUACAUUGAUCUGUUGAAGCAACAGCUACAGUAAUGGUGUGAAGAAGGCUGCUUUUAUGAAACAGGACUAGAAGCUUCUAGUCUAGAACAAGAAAUUCUUUCCUUUCUAGAGGAAACACAAAAAAUUAUAAACUGUGUACUUCCUUCUAUAAUUUUAUUGGCUUUAUUCUUCCACUGAUAGAAAUGUGUUCUCUUGAUUACAGAUGAUUUUGACUGAUCAUUUUUUAAAGAUACCUUCUAGAAAGAAAUACUGUCCUAAUGAUGCAUGCCAAAAUGUGUUAACAAGUACUUCUAUAAAAGAACCAGAUCUUUUUGAUUUUUCUUUUACAUUACAGAACACUGACUUUCAGCACACAUAACAUAUGACUCACAUAUCAAUUAGAAAUAUGAUUAUCUGGUGGCAUCCGUGGGUCCUCCAUGUGCAUUCAUAGGCUGUUUUCCAAACACAUCCACAAGCAACAAGAAAGCAGAGUCACACAGAGGACGUGGCUGUGCACCCAACCAGGCUGGAGUGGCAG